rnacentral:rRNA from 1 species
GCGGCAUGCCUUACACAUGCAAGUCGGACGGCAGCGCGGGCUUCGGCCUGGCGGCGAGUGGCGAACGGGUGAGUAAUACAUCGGAACGUGUCCUGUAGUGGGGGAUAGCCCGGCGAAAGCGGGAUUAAUACCGCAUACGAUCUACGGAGGAAAGCGGGGGAUCUUCGGACCUCGCGCUGUAGGGGCGGCCGAUGGCAGAUUAGCUAGUUGGUGGGGUAAAGGCCUACCAAGCCGACGAUCUGUAGCUGGUCUGAGAGUACGACCAGCCACACUGGGACUGAGACACGGCCCAGACUCCUACGGGAGGCAGCAGUGGGGAAUUUUGGACAAUGGGGGCAACCCUGAUCCAGCAAUACCGCGUGUGUGAAGAAGGCCUUCGGGUUGUAAAGCACUUUUGUCCGGAAAGAAAACUUCGCUCCUAAUAUGGGUGGAGGAUGACGGUACCGGAAGAAUAAGCACCGGCUAAC